GUGGACAAGUAUUUUUUUUUUUCAUCUGCAGUGUAUUUGCUGGGAUGAACUGAGGUCUGAGGUGAGUUGGAAAGUUCCACCAAUGCCCUCAGGAAGUCUGCCCUCAAGCCCAAGGCACUGUGGAACCUCCCUGAAGCCCAGGCUUUGCAGGCCACUCUGGAGCAUAGCCCUGCUGAGAAAAAGAGGCAUUGGGGACUGGCAAACUUCCACUUGCAGCACCCCUGCAUCUGGUUUACCCAGGACCUGCCCAUAAUAGCUCCUGGCCUGUGCCCAAGUCCAGAGUAUCAUCAAAAUUCAAAAAUUGCCUCUCUAAUUCUUUCCAGGGAUACACUAGUACUCACAGUCACUGAUAUGCUAAUUAAUACAUGCUAAGUCCUCUUCACUCUCUUCUUUUCCUAUAGAUGAGAUAACCAUAUAGUUCGCCAUCCAAACCAAUACUUUUAAAAGGGAAAGGAGCCUACCACAGUGGUGUAUGGCCGUAUGUAAUUCUAUUUACAAGGAGGCUAAGGCAGGAGAAUCACAAGGUGGAGCCCAGCCUGGGCAACUUAACAAGACCCUCUCUCCAAAAUAAAAAUAAAAAGGGCCAUGAAUGUAACUCAGUGCCCCUGAGUUCAAUCCCCAGUACUGGAAUGGGGGAGCGGAGGGAAAUGGAUGCUAUUAAUGUAACCGAAAGCUCAGUCCUCGUCCUCACCAAUCCAAUAACGAAGACAAGGUCUUGAGAAAAAGGAAAAUGCUUUGCUAGCAAAGGAGAAACACACGGAACUCCUGUCCCAAAGGCUGUGGGGCUUUUACAGAGGUGAUUCAGAGAAAAUGAGAUUAGGGAGGAGAGAUCAGGGAGGAGAAGUUUAGGGAAAAGAUUGAGAAAAAGAAAAGAAAUACGUAAGUUUCAAAGCCACAAGGGAUAUAGUCAAAGCAUCAAGUGAAGUCCUGUUACAUUAAUACUUACAUAACAGCAGAAAACUUGUCCCAGCCUAAGUAGGGUACUAGUACUUCACCUUGGGAAACUUGAGCAAUUUAUCAGAAUUCAGUGAGUACGGGCUGGGGAUGUGGCUCAAGUGGUAGCGUGCUCACCUGGCAUGCGUGCGGCCCGGGUUCGAUCCUCAGCACCACAUACAAACAAAGAUGUCACCACAUACAAACAAAGAUGUUGUGUCCGCCGAAAACUAAAAAAUAAAUAAAAAAAAAAAAAAUUCAGUGAGUACAGUAGUGUAUGCCUAUAACCCCAGCGGCUCAGGAGGCUAGUCAGGAGGAUCAUAGGUAGAGGUCAGCCUCAGCAAUUUAGUGAGGCCCUAAGCAACUUAGAGAGACUCUGUCUCAAAAUGAAAAAUAAAAAAGGCUGGGAAGGUAGGUAAGUGAUAAAGUGCCCCUGGGUUUAAUCCCCAGUAUCAAACAAACAAAACUCUAUAGAGUCUGUGCUGCUAAAUCCUAAAACUUGCACUGACCUGAUCUGUGAAUGCUUCCUAAGGGCAAUAGGAGAGCUGAAAAUAGGCUUGAUUACACUUAUUUGUUAAAGUACUUAAAGAUACAUUUUAUUGUUGCCCAUACCUCUAAUAAAUGCUCCCAUUAGCCAUCUCCAAAUAAAAGCUGUUACAAGAACUCACCCCAGUGCUUUAAGACUAUCAGCCAGUGUGACCCCAUCUUCUUUCCCUGUAAUCCUUAGCUGAAGCUAAACUGAAACUCCAUGUUUUCCUGCCUCAGCAUUUUCUCUAGGCUUUUCCCUCUAUCUAGAAAGUCUCCCAAGCCAUUCCUCUCUACACAACUUCUUUUAUUGAAAUUCCAUUUACUUUCAAGGCCCAGAUCAAGCUGGCAUUCCAUUGUCACACAAGACAGAAUCUCUCCAAAGUCUGAAAUCCUACAGCCUUUAUCUGCACCACUCACAGGCCCACAUAUCUUAUCUCCUCUACUCAGUCAGCAAUUUCUUUUCCACACAAUACUUAGCACAGCACAUUUCCGCAUAAAUAGGUUCUCAGUGAAUGUAUAGCCCUACAUUGUUUGCCCUUCAUCCAUCCUCUCUGCUAAAUAUCUGCAAAAAAAAAAUAUGAAGCAUUGAUCAUAAAAAGACUUAAAAAAAAAAAAAAGCCUUUUUCUUUUUUUACUGGGAAUUGAACCCAUGGUCAUUCUUCCACUGAACUACAUCCCUGGCCCUUAUUUAAUUUAUUUAUUUGAUUAUUUAUUUAUAUUUUGAGACUGGGUUUUACUAAGUUGCUAAGGUCUGGCCUUUCUAACUUAUUAUGCUCUUGCCUCAGCUUCCUGAGUUGCUUGGAUUAUAGGCAUGAGUCACUAAGCCCAAUUUUCUUUUUCUCUCUUCUCUUUCCCUCUCUCUUUUUUAUUUUUCUUCUUUGUACUGGGAAUUGAACCAGGAGCCUUGCAUAUGCUAGAUAAGUGCUGUACCAUUGAGCUAUAUCCCCAUUACUCCCUGAUCCAUCCUGACAGUCCUUUUUAAAAUUUUUUUUGGAGGGAGGGUACCAGAGAUUGAACCCAGGGACACUUAACCAUUGAGCCUCAUCUCCAGCCUUUUUGGUAUUUUAUUUUGAGACAGGGUCUCACUAAGUUGCUUAGGGCCUUGCUAAAUUGCUGAGGGUUGCUUUGAACUUGAGAUCCUCCUGCCUCAACCUCCCAAGUGGCUGGGAUUAUAUGUGUACACCCACGCCCAGCUCUUGCCAAUCUUUUAUUUUUUUUAUGUGGUGCUGAGAAUUGAACCCAGGGUCUUAUGCAUGCAAGGCAAGCACUCUACCAACUAAGCUAUUUCCCCUGCCCUUGCCAGUUCUUUUUACUUUAAAUCUUAAUUUUGAGACAAGUUUUUCCCUAAAAUGCUCAGGUAGGCCUUAAAUUUGCAAGUCUCCUGUCUCAGUUUCCAAAGUUGCUGGAAUUAAAAAUGUUUGCCAUCACACCAAGAAAACCGUGAUUUUGUUCAGGAAUCUAUUCCUAUCAAGUUCUGAAAAGCUCCAGUAGCCAGAUUAAGAAAAGUAAAACAAACUGGUGAAAUUAAUUUAGUAAAAUGUAUUUAUUUAACCCAAAAUAUCCAAAACAGAUGUGGGGAAGAUAGCACAGUGGUAAAACACUUGCCUGGCAUUCUUAACACCUUGGGUUUGAUCCCCAGAAGUGUAAAAAAGAAGAAAAGAGAGAGAGAGAGAGAGAGAAGCAUAGUAUAUCGAAAACAUCAUUUAAACAUGUAAUCAGGCUGGGCACAAAGGUGCACACCUGUAAUCACAACUACUCAGGAAGCUGAAGCAGGAGGAUCGAAAAUUCAAGACUAGCCUUGGCAACUUAGUGAGGCCCUAAUCAAUUUAGGGAGAUACUAUCUCAAAAUAAAAAUGUAAAAAUGGCUAGGAAUAUAGCUCAGCUGUAAAGUGCCCCUGGGUUCAACAUCUUGUACUCCCCAAAACAAAACAAAAUCUAUGUAUAAUAAAUAUAAAAAACAUUAGAG
rnacentral:lncRNA from 1 species